UCCGGACCCAGCGUACCCUAUCUGAGACGCUCCCCUGAUCUCGUUUCCCUCAGUUUGGCCACUAGAUGGCCUGCAUCAGCCUGUGUCGGCUGUCAUGCCCCCUCUCCUCAUCAAUGGAUAUUUAGCCGGACAUUGUUUUCUUUCAAUAUGUUAUAUACACUCAGCUAUUUACAAUCACCUGCAAGCGAACAUUUCUUUUCAACUUCACCAGCUAAAAUAAAAGUCGCAAAAAAACAACAAAAAGGAAAGAUACAAACACCAGACGCAAUAAUCUUUGUUCUGAUCGCACUUUAGGGAAUUUUCUUAAGCGAAACUAGGCUCAGGGGUUUCGAACAUGAGUCUACGUCUGACUCUGCCUGCUACUCGGGGCGAGGAAGGACGACAUGGGACUGAAUCACUCGGAUGAAGUGGGCGUGGUCGCACCCGUGGCCGCUUUUUAGCCUUUCCUUCUGGAUAGCGUCGGUGAUCAGUGCGCCGAGGGUAUGGCUGACGUGCACCGCUGAGCCGAAACCGGGCCUGGGAGUGAAACUGUUGGCCUCUCUGGCCCGACAGCUGAUCCCUUCGUUGCCGUAACCGUAGGUGGUUUCUUUUAUUGUCUUAUUUUUUUUAAUUGUUCGUCCCGUGUCGCAUGUAAGUUUUAAGUUUUUAAAUUUUUGUAUAUCUCAAUGUUUGAACUCAUGUUUCUUUAUUAAACAGCAAAAAAUAUUCCUCGUUAUUUUUAAUUUGUACGCGUCGGCUUAGUUGGCCGGUUAGUAAACGUUUCUAGAAUAUUUAAGUACGGAGCCUACAUGCAAAAGGAAAAGUUUUUGUCUGGCUUCGAGCACGGCACGCCCGCCGCUGACUGCUGACAAAAUCGAACUCCCUGCUGUACAUUUGGGCAGCAACGUCAUCGGUGCCGAAUUUCGGCAAACGCAUACAUGUAAGAGGUGAGCACCGUUGCUGCCCAUCUGCACAGCUGCACUCUAGGGUCAACGGCCCAGUUGUAGGCCAAGGGCAUUAGCACCCGAUCCGCUCUCUUCCUAAUCUCUCUAUGACCGAAUCGGUCUCCCAAUCAUGGUUGUUCUAUCGCGUUACCCCUCUCAGCGCAGUGGAUAACAAGCCAGGCAAAGCAAGAUACUAAUUUCCGGAAAGCUAUCCCACUUGAAAAGCGCAUUGCCAUUGGACUCUACACACUGGGCUCGUCAGCAGAGUAACGGGCUCUUGCACCCGAAUACCUGCCGCGUCAAUUUUUAACGAAAGACAAAGUUGAGGAAUGUGUUCGAGGAUUUGAGGAGAUUGGUUUGCACCAGUGCUUUGGUGCGAUUGGUAUGACGUUUUCAAAUUUUUCGUUAAGCAGAUUAUAAUAACAUUCUCUAUAGAUGGAAGUCACAUAGAAAUUCAUCCAACUGCCGC